AUACGGAGGGUGCAAGCGUGAUUCGGAAUCACUGGGCGCAAAGGACGCGUAGGCGGGUUGGCAAGUCAGAUGUGAAAUCCUACAGCUUAACUGUAGAACUGCAUUUGAAACUGCUAACCUAGAGUAUGGGAGGGGGAGAUGGAAUUAGUGGUGUAGGGGUAAAAUCCGUAGAUAUCACUAGGAAUACCGAAAGCGAAGGCGAUCUCCUGGAACAUAACUGACGCUAAGGCGUGAAAGCGUGGGGAGCAAACAGGAUUAGAAACCCUAGUAGUCC
rnacentral:rRNA from 1 species